UACGUAGGGGGCAAGCGUUGUUCGGAAUUACUGGGCGUAAAGGGCCAGUAGGCGGCCAACUAAGUCGGAUGUGAAAUCCCCAGGCUUAACCUGGGAACUGCAUCCGAUACUGGAUGGCUUGAAUUCGGGAGAGGGAUGCAGAAUUCCAGGUGUAGCGGUGAAAUGCGUAGAUAUCUGGAGGAAUACCGGUGGCGAAGGCGGCAUCCUGGACCGACAUUGACGCUGAACGGCGAAAGCUAGGGGAGCAAACGGG
rnacentral:rRNA from 1 species